rnacentral:rRNA from 1 species
AUGGAUCCGCUGGACUAUCUCUGCAUCAGGUUUCAUUUCAGAGGACAGUUUGAACAUGAUGGAACAGAGUGGCAGUAUGUGAAUGGAAGUCAAGGCCUUUCAACAGUACAGCACCACAAAAUUAGCCUUGAAGAACUGAAGAAAAAACUUGCAGAGCAUGUGCCUUGUUCAGAUAAGCAACUGCAGGAAACAAAUUUACAUUGGAAGUUCCCUGGGAUGAUUAGAGAUGGCCAAAUGAAUAGUGCCCUGGUGAUGUUGCAUGACAAAAAAUCUGUCCUGGAGAUGGCCAAACAUGUCACUGAUGCAGGGGUCAUGGACAUUUAUGCUAACAUUCCUGAUGAUUUUGUAGCACAAGAAGCUAGUGAAUGGGAGGAAGAAUAUGCAGUAGAUAUAGGGGAAGGUAGUUGUGAUGUUGAUUCAGAGGAGGAGAUGCACCAAGUGCCAGAACAGGAGCAGCAGCAAGUUUCAGAGGAUAAUAGACAACAGGAAAGACAGGAGAUGCAUCAAAUGGCAUAUAAUUUAGAGGAGGAGGAGAUGCACCAAGUGCCAGAACAGGAGCAGCGGCAAGAACACCAACCAGAUUGGCAGUGGUCAAACAAUUUCUACCAGUCAGCCAGUAAUCGUAAGUUACCAGUUAACAAAGGUCCCAUACAAAAUCAUGACAGAGGAAAAUCAGUUCAAAAUGAGGAUAGUGGUAUUGAUAGUUCAACAUCUGAUAGUGACUAUGUUGUCCCUCCAGCAGAGAGUAAUAGUUCAGCAUCUGAUGAUGAAGUGUUGGAGUUGAGAAAAUAUGCAAAAGAGUUGAAGCAGAAAGUGAGAAAGAAGAUGCUGAGAGAAGAUGAGGGGAAAUCUUGCAAAGUGCCUGAUGAUUUUGUUGUGCCUAAAACAGGUAAGCUAGAUGAUUCAGAUGGAGAAGGCACACCCCAUUUUGAUAGUGAUGAUGAUCUGUCAUAUGAUGAGGGCAGUGAUGUAGAGGUCACUGAAGUGAGGAGGAGGAAGACAACACACAGAGUGUUUGAUGGCACUAGUGAGAAACCUGAAUUUGAUGUUGGAAUGGCAUUCACUGACAGUAGGGAAUUCAAGCAGGCUUUGGUUAAAUAUGGGCUAGUUAAUUUCCACCACCUAAGAUUCCCUAAAGAUGAGAAGAAGAGGGUCAGUGCACAGUGCUCUUGGCCUGGAUGUCCUUGGAGCAUCUAUGGAUCAAUUAGCAGCAGGUCUGAUUGGCUACAAGUUGUGAGGUACAACAAUGAGCACACAUGCAUUCCUAGGAGGGACAACAAGCUGGUUACUAGCACAGUUAUUGCAAAAAAAUAUUUCAGGCAGAUUAGGGACAAUCCUACUUGGAGGGUGGAGAAAAUGCAAGAGGCAGUACUUGAGGAUUUGCUAGCUAAUGUGAAUCUCUCAAAGUGCAAAAGGGCUAAAAAGCUUGUCAUGGCAAAGCUCACUGAUAUGACCAAUGGUGAGUACUCUAGAGUGUUUGACUACCACCUAGAAUUAGUUAGAAGCAAUCCAGGGAGCACUGUAGCUGUUUGUUUAGAUCCAGACAUUCAUGACAAGCCAGUCUUUCAGAGAAUGUAUGUGUGCCUUGAGGGUUGCAAAAAAGGGUUUCUAGCUGGAUGCAGAAGAGUGGUGGGAUUAGAUGGCUGCUUUCUGAAAGGGGCAGUAACAGGGCAAAUUUUGUCUGCUAUUGGCAGAGAUGCUAAUAAUCAGAUGUACCCACUUGCUUGGGCCACAGUUGAGGUUGAAAGCUAUGAGUCAUGGUAUUGGUUUCUCUCACUUCUCCAAAAGGACCUGCAGAUAAGCAAUCAUGGUGAUGGAUGGGUUUUCUUAUCUGAUCAACAGAAGGGUCUUAUCAGGUCUGUUAAUGAAAUUAUUCCUGAAGCGGAGCACAGAAUGUGUGCCAGACAUAUAUAUGCAAAUUGGAGGAAGCAACAUAGGGAGAAGAAAUUGCAGAAAAUGUUUUGGGCAUGUGCCAAGUCCUCUGAUAGGAGUCAGUUCAACUACAACAAAGCCAAAUUAGCACAGAGAAGUCCAGAAGGAGCUAGAGAUAUUAUGAACACUGCACCAAAACACUGGAGUAGAGCAUACUUCAGACUAGGCUCAUGGUGUGAUUCAGUUGAGAAUAAUAUGUGUGAAUCAUUCAACAAUGCAAUUAUGAGGUCAAGGUUUUACCCUGUCAUCACAUCACAUGAGAUCAUUAGAAAGAAGGUGAUGGCACGGAUACAAGAAAACAGGGGCAAAUCAGCAACAUGGAGUGGAACCAUUUGCCCAAACAUUUUCAAGAAGUUGAAGUUGAACAUCAAGAGGUCAGCUAAUUGCCAGGUGCUUUGGAAUGGAAAAGAAGGUUUUGAAGUACAAUAA